ensembl:snRNA U4 U4 spliceosomal RNA
AGCUUUGCACAGUGGCAGUAUCGUACGUAGCCAAUGAGGUUUAUCGGAGGAGCGAUUAUUGCUAAUUGAAAACUUUUCCCAAUACCCUGCCAUGAUGACUUGCAAUAUAGUUGGCACUGACAAUUUUUAGAGGUCUCUUUGGAAA